rnacentral:rRNA from 1 species
AACGCUAGCUACAGGCUUAACACAUGCAAGUCGAGGGGCAGCAUGGUCUUAGCUUGCUAAGGCCGAUGGCGACCGGCGCACGGGUGAGUAACACGUAUCCAACCUGCCGUCUACUCUUGGACAGCCUUCUGAAAGGAAGAUUAAUACAAGAUGGCAUCAUGAGUUCACAUGUUCACAUGAUUAAAGGUAUUCCGGUAGACGAUGGGGAUGCGUUCCAUUAGAUAGUAGGCGGGGUAACGGCCCACCUAGUCUUCGAUGGAUAGGGGUUCUGAGAGGAAGGUCCCCCACAUUGGAACUGAGACACGGACCAGACUCCUACGGGAGGCAGCAGUGAGGAAUAUUGGUCAAUGGGCGAGAGCCUGAACCAGCCAAGUCGCGUGAAGGAAGAAGGAUCUAUGGUUCGUAAACUUCUUUUGCAGGGGAAUAAAGUGCAGGACGUGUCCUGUUUUGUAUGUACCCUGAGAAUAAGGAUCGGCUAACUCCGUGCCAGCAGCCGCGGUAAUACGGAGGAUCCGAGCGUUAUCCGGAUUUAUUGGGUUUAAAGGGUGCGUAGGUGGUUUAAUAAGUCAGCGGUGAAAGUUUGCAGCUUAACUGUAAAAAUGCCGUUGAAACUGUUAGACUUGAGUGUAAAUGAGGUAGGCGGAAUGCGUGGUGUAGCGGUGAAAUGCUUAGAUAUCACGAAGAACUCCGAUUG